AGAACACUGAUAUAUCCACCUCCUGUAUCCACCGAGCAGCACUGAGCAACAGAAAUGUAACCCAAACCCAGCAUAUGAUCUGUGUCAAGGGAGAGAGCCAUCAGUCAUUCUCAUCUCUUGAAUUUCAUGGCCUCAUUGCUUCCUUCCCACCUGUAAUCACAGCUGUGCCUGUGUGACACACACUAGAGUGCUAGUGAUGGUUUAUGGGUUUCAAGGCUACAGUGUUGCAGACUCUGCCUGGCUCCCUUGGAUUACCUAGACUGGGGGAAGCCUUAAGCCCUCUCAUGACGACAUGGAAGUAGCCCUGUGGACAGCUACACAUGGAAAAACUGAGGUUCUCAGUCAACAACUGGUAUCAACUUGCCAGCCAUGUGAAUGAGCCACUUUGAAAGUAUAGCUCCCAGCUCAGCCAGGCCUUCAGAUGACUGCAGCCCCCACAUCUGGCAUCAAUCACCUAAGCCUUCGAGUGGGAAAUGUACAGCCAAGCCCUUCUAGAAACCCUGAUCUGCAGAAUCUAUGAUCACAAUAAAUUACUGCUUUAUGACA
rnacentral:lncRNA from 1 species